GGGUAGUGUGUAUUUUAAGGCUCGUACAGACUACAUGACUUUAAAACGUUGGUCCGAACUGUGCGGUUCACACUACAUGACUUGCUCUCUGUGAAAUCAGGAGUGUUCACGUUGUUGAUCAGUUCACACCACACGACAUAACGUGACUGCCCCACAACAGGAGGUAACGCACUACACGAGUUGAGAACAACUCUAUCACCCGGCGAUUCUAUCUUGUCCACAAACCACGUUUUGUCACGAAAAAUCACGCGAUAAAACAAACCGGAAAUGACGCGAAACAACACGCGCACCAGUAAACCCACAGAAGAAGAAUGAAGACGACGCGCAAAACUUUUGUUUGUAUAUAUAGACUUCAGACAGAAAUUCGUGCUGCAAACCGUUUGCGCGAUGCAAAGCUGCAAAAGAAAAAAAAUGAAGAGAUGUGUAUGUGGAGAGGUGGAUCAACACCACACGAGGACAGCAGGGAUUUAAGAGUUGGAGAAUAGGACAGGCUUCGCAAAGCAUGACUUGGAGAGCGUUUGUCUUUGACCCUGCGAUUCUAUGCAACAGGUGACACGUUCAACUCCCUCAGGUUCAAGUCCAGUAUGGGGGACCAGCACCAUCCCACAAAUAGUUUUGGAUAGCUGUUCUGUACCAGGUUAUAAAGGACGAUUUCUUGAAGACACCAUCAACGGAAGGAGAGUGGCAUAGCCGUGGACUUCGAAAGGAAGUGGCAGUUUCCACAUUGCUUUGGGGUACUUGCUACCACUCCAGCUGUAGCAGACUGCUGACCAAAACAUGGUUGAUGGGCAAUGGAAGAAUCGUGGGACGGGUGCUUUUCAACCGAUGAACACCACCUCACAUCGCAAUUGUAUGGCAACAGCAAAAGUGCAACGCAAUCUGAUGCGGGACUACUUUGUCUCACCAGCGUGUAGUGUUUAUUGGCAAGUUCAACACAUUUUAAAAGGAACUGAUGUAGAGUUAUCCCUGCAAACAGCAGAUUAAAGCCAGUUAUUGUCAGUUUAGGACAUUCGUUUUCUUGUGUGUUCUAAAGUCCUGUAUUUGUAAAGAACACAAUGUGGUUCACUUUUUCAUUGUUUUAAGUAUUCUGUUUAUUGUUGUGUUAUUAUUCAAUUAAUUUUAAUUGCAUACAAAUCAAAAGGUGCAGGAAUGUAACAAAUAAAGGCAAUCUGCAUGUUGCAA